AUGCCUGCCAUAGAUGUGGGCGAAACGGCAGGAGAGAAUGCUUCCGGAACAUGGCCAUACAGCCUGGAAUGCAUACAACAACCCUAUUAUUAUUAUUAUUAUUAUUAUUAUUAUUAUUAUUAUUAUUAUUAUUAUUUCUCACAACCUCUGAGGAUGCCUGCCAUAGAUGUGGGCGAAACGGCAGGAGAGAAUGCUUCCGGAACAUGGCCAUACAGCCUGGAAUGCAUACAACAACCCUAUUAUUAUUAUUAUUAUUAUUAUUAUUAUUAUUAUUAUUAUUAUUAUUAUUAUUUCUCACAACCUCUGAGGAUGCCUGCCAUAGAUGUGGGCGAAACGGCAGGAGAGAAUGCUUCCGGAACAUGGCCAUACAGCCUGGAAUGCAUACAACAACCCUAUUAUUAUUAUUAUUAUUAUUAUUAUUAUUAUUAUUAUUAUUAUUAUUAUUUCUCACAACCUCUGAGGAUGCCUGCCAUAGAUGUGGGCGAAACGGCAGGAGAGAAUGCUUCCGGAACAUGGCCAUACAGCCUGGAAUGCAUACAACAACCCUAUUAUUAUUAUUAUUAUUAUUAUUAUUAUUAUUAUUAUUAUUAUUAUUUCUCACAACCUCUGAGGAUGCCUGCCAUAGAUGUGGGCGAAACGGCAGGAGAGAAUGCUUCCGGAACAUGGCCAUACAGCCUGGAAUGCAUACAACAACCCUAUUAUUAUUAUUAUUAUUAUUAUUAUUAUUAUUAUUAUUAUUUCUCACAACCUCUGAGGAUGCCUGCCAUAGAUGUGGGCGAAACGGCAGGAGAGAAUGCUUCCGGAACAUGGCCAUACAGCCUGGAAUGCAUACAACAACCCUAUUAUUAUUAUUAUUAUUAUUAUUAUUAUUAUUAUUAUUAUUAUUAUUAUUAUUUCUCACAACCUCUGAGGAUACCUGCCAUAGAUGUGGGCGAAACGGCAGGAGAGAAUGCUUCUGGAACAUGGCCAUACAGCCUGGAAUGCAUACAACAACCCUAUUAUUAUUAUUAUUAUUAUUAUUAUUAUUAUUAUUAUUAUUAUUAUUUCUCACAACCUCUGAGGAUGAGCCCUGUUCUUUCUCCCACCCCCCCAGGGACCAAAACUCUGAGCGGCAGCAUCGCGAGCAUGGACACCUGUGUCCGGCAUUUCAGGGAAGCCACAGGUAAGGCAGAACUUUGGCAACUUCGAGGGAAAAUGUCCUGUCUUUGCAAGAAGCCAAAGUCUCCUCCGCAUUUUAUCCUUAUCUCCCAGAGGUGUGGUUCCUCUUCUUGA
rnacentral:lncRNA from 1 species